GUGGUUUAAUUCGAAGCAACGCGCAGAACCUUACCAACCCUUGACAUCCUGUGCCACACGGAGAGAUCCGUGGUUCCCUUCGGGGACGCAGUGACAGGUGCUGCAUGGCUGUCGUCAGCUCGUGUCGUGAGAUGUCGGGUUAAGUCCCUUAACGAGCGCAACCCCUAUCGUUAGUUACUAACGCGUUAUGGCGAGGACUCUAGCGAGACUGCCGGUGUCAAACCGGAGGAAGGUGGGGAUGACGUCAAGUCCUCAUGGCCUUUAUGACUAGGGCUGCACACGUCCUACAAUGCAACAUACAAAGGGAAGCAAAAUCGCGAGAUCUAGCAAAUCCCAAAAAGUGUUGCUCAGUUCGGAUUGCAGGCUGCAACUCGCCUGCAUGAAGCCGGAAUCGCUAGUAAUCGCGGGUCAGCA
rnacentral:rRNA from 1 species